CCUACGGGAGGCAGCAGUGAGGAAUAUUGGUCAAUGGUCGGGAGACUGAACCAGCCAAGCCGCGUGAGGGAUGAAGGUACAGAGUAUCGUAAACCUCUUUUGUCAGGGAACAAAGGCGGGGACGUGUCCCCGGCUGAGUGUACCUUAAGAAAAAGCAUCGGCUAACUCCGUGCCAGCAGCCGCGGUAAUACGGAGGAUGCGAGCGUUAUCCGGAUUUAUUGGGUUUAAAUGGUGAGCAGGCGGUCUGUUAAGUCAGCGGUCAAAGCCCGGGGCUCAACCCCGGCCCGCCGUUGAAACUGGCAGUCUCGAGUUGGAGAGAAGUAUGCGGAAUGCGCGGUGUAGCGGUGAAAUGCAUAGAUAUCGCGCAGAACUCCGAUUGCGAAGGCAGCAUGCCGGCUCCACACUGACGCUGAGGCACGAAAGCGUGGGUAUCGAACAGGAUUAGAUACCCCUGUAGUC
rnacentral:rRNA from 1 species